UUUUUUUUUCUCAUUUAACUUUUUUAAUGGGUCUCAAACUUCUGUGACAAAUUUUUGGUCAAGUUGUUUCCAUUAAAAAGUACUGAUUUUAAAAACUAAUAACUUAAAACUGCCACACGCAAAAAAGAAAACCAAAGUGGUCCACAAAACAUUCUCCUUUCCUUCUGAAGGUUUUACGAUGCAUUGUUAUCAUUAACCAGUCUUUUACUACUAAACUUAAAUGGCCAAUUGAAACAAACAGUUCUGAGACCGUUCUUCCACCACUGAUUAAGAGUGGGGUGGCAGGUAUUAGGGAUAAUAUUCAUUUAGCCUUCUGAGCUUUCUGGGCAGACUUGGUGACCUUGCCAGCUCCAGCAGCCUUCUUGUCCACUGCUUUGAUGACACCCACCGCAACUGUCUGUCUCAUAUCACGAACAGCAAAGCGACCCAAAGGUGGAUAGUCUGAGAAGCUCUCAACACACAUGGGCUUGCCAGGAACCAUAUCAACAAUGGCAGCAUCACCAGACUUCAAGAAUUUAGGGCCAUCUUCCAGCUUUUUACCAGAACGGCGAUCAAUCUUUUCCUUCAGCUCAGCAAACUUGCAUGCAAUGUGAGCCAUGUGGCAAUCCAAUACAGGGGCAUAGCCGGCGCUUAUUUGGCCUGGAUGGUUCAGGAUAAUCACCUGAGCAGUGAAGCCAGCUGCUUCCAUUGGUGGGUCAUUUUUGCUGUCACCAGCAACGUUGCCACGACGAACAUCCUUGACAGACACAUUCUUGACCUUGAAGCCCACAUUGUCCCCAGGAAGAGCUUCACUCAAAGCUUCAUGGUGCAUUUCGACAGAUUUUACUUCCGUUGUAACGUUGACUGGAGCAAAGGUGACCACCAUACCGGGUUUGAGAACACCAGUCUCCACUCGGCCAACAGGAACAGUACCAAUACCACCAAUUUUGUAGACAUCCUGGAGAGGCAGGCGCAAGGGCUUGUCAGUUGGGCGAGUUGGUGGUAGGAUGCAGUCCAGAGCCUCAAGCAGCGUGGUUCCACUGGCAUUGCCAUCCUUACGGGUGACUUUCCAUCCCUUGAACCAAGGCAUGUUAGCACUUGGCUCCAGCAUGUUCCAAUUUUCUUAAUGUAAGUGCUGACUUCCUUAACAAUUUCCUCAUAUCUCUUCUGGCUGUAGGGUGGCUCAGUGGAAUCCAUUUUGUUAACACCGACAAUUAGUUGUUUCACACCCAGUGUGUAAGCCAGAAGGGCAUGCUCUCGGGUCUGCCCAUUCUUGGAGAUACCAGCUUCAAAUUCACCAACACCAGCAGCAACAAUCAGGACAGCACAGUCAGCCUGAGAUGUCCCUGUAAUCAUGUUUUUGAUGAAGUCUCUGUGUCCUGGGGCAUCAAUGAUAGUCACAUAGUACUUGCUGGUCUCAAAUUUCCACAAGGAGAUAUCAAUGGUGAUACCACGUUCACGCUCAGCUUUCAGUUUAUCCAAGACCCAGGCAUACUUGAAGGAGCCCUUUCCCAUCUCAGCAGCCUCCUUCUCAAAUUUUUCAAUGGUUCUUUUGUCGAUGCCACCGCAUUUAUAGAUCAGAUGGCCAGUAGUGGUGGACUUGCCCGAAUCUACGUGUCCAAUGACGACAAUGUUGAUAUGAGUCUUUUCCUUUCCCAUUUUGGCUUUUAGGGGUAGUUUUCACGACACCUGUGUUCUGGCGGCAAACCCGUU
rnacentral:lncRNA from 1 species